rnacentral:rRNA from 1 species
GACGAACGCUGGCGGCGUGCCUAAUACAUGCAAGUCGAGCGAAGUUUUUCUGGUUCUUGCACUAGAAACACUUAGCGGCGAACGGGUGAGUAACACGUAAAGAACCUGCCUCAUAGACUGGGACAACUAUUGGAAACGAUAGCUAAUACCGGAUAACAGUAUUUCUCGCAUGAGAGAUAUUUAAAAGUUGGUUAUGCUAACACUAUGAGAUUGCUUUGCGGUGCAUUAGCUAGUUGGUGGGGUAAAGGCCCACCAAGGCGACGAUGCAUAGCCGACCUGAGAGGGUGAUCGGCCACACUGGGACUGAGACACGGCCCAGACUCCUACGGGAGGCAGCAGUAGGGAAUCUUCCGCAAUGGGCGAAAGCCUGACGGAGCAACGCCGCGUGAGUGAAGAAGGAUUUCGGUUCGUAAAGCUCUGUUGUUAGGGAAGAAUGGAUAUGUAGUAACUAUACAUGUAAGAGACGGUACCUAACCAGAAAGCCACGGCUAACUACGUG